rnacentral:lncRNA from 1 species
GGGGUUUGAACUCAUAGGCCAUGAUGAAAGAAAAUAACUGAAAAGCCUAUCAUACAUAUAGUUUGGAGGAUUAGGAAGCCCUAACAAGGUUACAAACUUGACCUCGAGGCCCAUUUGCUAGUUUAAGCAAACUCGAUCCCAUACGUAGUAUAUUGAAUCCACAUGUCUCCUUCGAGUGGAUGGAAGACGAAUUAAACGCCUCAAGACUGAAUAAUCA